rnacentral:lncRNA from 1 species
GAGGGGGUUGUUUCGCCCCGCCACUUAGUAUUCUAAUAGAAUGGAAAGUGGCAUCAUCUGUUAACAAAAAAAAAACAAAACUAUCCAAGUUUCAUAUCUAUAACUCAUAUUUAUAGACAUUUAUAUAAUACAUUUAUGAAAUUUUCUAACUUGUAAGUUUCAUGUUUAAACUUGACGGGGUUUGUUAAAAACAAUUCUAAUAACUCGAAAAAAGUUCUAAGAACCUCUUUGAAUGAUAGUUUCAUGGCAAAGCAAAAAUAUGUUUAAGUAAAUAAAAGAUACUGCAAACAAAAACUUUAUUAAUAAACUGUAGUGUCCAUUGAUAGCCAGCCUAAAAACAAAUGUUUCUGCAACUGAGAACUAUUUCUGCUGCUUUGUAAUUAUUUUUCACAAACUCGUGAUAGUUUUCAAGAAUUCCCUUAAUGAAGGCAAAGAACAAAAGUAGUAAGUAAAUAAAAGACUGCAGAGUCUUUAUUAGUAACCGUAGUGUCCUUCGGUAUAGAAAUCCCUACCGUUAGCAUGUCGAACUUCGGUCGGUGUAUCUUUACACAGAUUCUUACAUGCACUAUGAAAGCAUUUGCCGAUUCCCGUAGACUGCAUAUUGAAAUAUAGAACUAGUGUCGCAUCUAACUACCACUAGGCUAUAACCUGUUGAUAUUCGGCAGAAGCAGCGAACGAAUUAUUGGCCAACGGCUGAAUAACUCCGAUGUACAGAUCCGACUGGCACACAGUACAAUCGGAUCUGUACAUCGGACUCUCCUAUGUCACCAAUUUGGUGCCAUACGAGAGUCCUCCUUUUCGAUCUUGAAGUUAUAUUCCAAAGUGUUGGUACCCUUCCAAUUAUGAGUGCGAAAGAAAUUCAUGUCGAUCUGUCUAAUCACCUGUCUGUUGGCAAAAAACUCAACAGUGACAAUAUAACUUACAAACUGACUUGUGAGUAUAAUAAUAAUUUAUAUAAAUUUUUAUUGUUUACCUAGUUGUUUAAUAUUCAACAAUCAUACAGAUGCAAAGGAGCGUUUUUUUUUUUUUUUUUUGUUGAAGAUGAUAACGUUUUAUUGAUUGCAGUAUGUGAUGAACAUGGCAGACGAUGACCCGAGAAGAAUGGAC